rnacentral:rRNA from 1 species
UACGUAGGGUGCAAGCGUUAAUCGGAAUUACUGGGCGUAAAGCGUGCGCAGGCGGUGAUGUAAGACAGGUGUGAAAUCCCCCGGGCUUAACCUGGGAACUGCAUUUGUGACUGCAUCGCUGGAGUGCGGCAGAGGGGGGAUGGAAUUCCGCGUGUAGCAGUGAAAUGCGUAGAUAUGCGGAGGAACACCGAUGGCGAAGGCAAUCCCCUGGGCCUGCACUGACGCUCAUGCACGAAAGCGUGGGGAGCAAACAGG